GUCACGUGAUUGACGACUUUUAAUUUGCACGGAGAGACUCGGAUUUUAGCCAAGUUUCAUAUUCUGUUUGUCUGCUCGCUUGCUUUUCCGGCUGCUUAGUCUACUGGGAGCGCCGUCAACUGCCUGUCUGAUUGUUUAUGCGUCCUAACUUAGUGAUUACGAUUUCUUCAAGUCUUGUGGCUGCAUGCCUUCUUGCCUAUCCAAUUGAACCACAGAUUUUAUUGGAGACUGCUUUCUGCACAUGAUGGGUUGAGAGUAAAAGGAGAGAAGAGAGCAGUGUGAGAACAGCGCUAUUGUAAUUGACUUCCGGAAAGGAAGAACUUUAAGGAGAUGUCAUUUUUGUCUUCAAUGAGCUAUGUGCACUCGUACAAGACAUCAAAUGUAUAACAACCAGUUAUUUGAGAGGACCAAUCAACUACAAGGUGGACCUGUUAGAGAUAUUCUGUGUACAGAUCUUGGAUGUCUGCUGGAGAGUGAUAGCGUUGAAGAGUGCCUCGGAUGAAGUUGACGAGCACGAGAUGGAGCAACGUGAAGAGUGACUACAGAGAGGAGAAGAAGCCGAUAGAAAAGCAUCUCUUUGGUUUACUGAGUGAUGAUGUUGUCGCUACGUCCGCUAGAAGUCGACUGUCUCGGUGAUGGAACUGUUGGCACUUAUACGGCUCAUGAAUUUAUCAGACAUCCCGCACGUGCGUAAGGGAAUUCAAUAUUUUCCUUUAGGCAAAACAGCUUUGAACACGAGGUGCCAAGCGUUGGGUCCGUAUCACGUACCGCAGAACCAUUUCCGAACUAUUUGAGACAUUCACGCCGGAAGGUACCGACAGAUGCGUUCUGUCGCGAUAGCGUGAUAGGCGUUGGACUGAUGAUACGACGCGUUAACGCGGUACGGUACCGGUGGUUUAGAUACUCCUUUAGCUUACCAACCAAUACUCCGAGUAAAAUCUUACAUCCAAUCCGACUUUUCAGUCAACACUGCAUUGGAGUCGAUGUGCUAGGAAGCCGCUUUCGCUCGCUCUUCCAAUAACAUACAAGUUAUGAUUGUCUAUUUAAUUGAUUUAUACACUGCCCAGGGGCGCCAUGCUGCUGCCCGUGCAUAUGCCAGCUAGACGAAGGCAAGUGUCUUGCAAAUGUGCGGUAAAUUUUUCGUAUGUUCGAUAGUAGAUCCGCCUGUUGGAAAUCCUAGCAGCUCUAGUCUGUGAAUAUGAUCUCCAUCUUGUACAUUUGUGGCUCCACCCCUGGAAAUGACCUUAUUUGUUUCUGUUAGCCGUAGUGUGUGAUAUUAUUGUGGUUCCUUCAACGUACUUUGCGAACAAUCUACCGUACUUGUGAAAGUUAAUGAUUGCAAAAUGCUAUUUUGAGACCUCCCUGAUGACUAACCGGCGUUGUUGCCUAGUAGGGAAACAUGCAACAGAAGCUACUGGAGACUUGCAACAGUAUUAGCCAGCCGAGGGGACCAUAUACGAGGUCGAUCAUCCACCUUGUGGCUCCCAUCUUGUCACAUCUCUGGAAAGUCUCUACCACUCGGACAGUUAAAAUAUUUCCUAACCGGAAUUGUAUCGAACAUGUCCGUCUACGUACUCUAGACUUAGUCAUCAUUCAUCUCGACAAGACUGUUCUAGUUUGAGAAAACAGAAAAGUGUGACGCUGCAUUAAACAAUGUAUCCUUUGCGGCUAAAUCCAUUGUCGCUUUAGGGGUACUGAUUGCUAAUUUUCAUAGCUAAGAGGACGAUUAAGAGGACGACAUUAUACUAAUUGAUAUGGUGGACGACGAGCUCCAUCAUUUCAUUACAGAAACGUUCUCUCUGACCAUUUCCAGCUACUGCUCUACCAACUGAAAGCUUAAAUUCCGAUCACGUCGUGAUUGCCUUUACCGUGAGCCUCCUGCUUUGUUUAAAUAGGUGCGACGACAAAGGACUAAUAACAUCGUGUGAUGGUUGGAGAUUCCUACCGGUGACAUGGACCACGCGCAGAGCUGGUCUCACUCUGCGAUAUGUCGCUUUCCCCCCGUGAGAACCGUUGACAUGGCGCAGUGUUUGGAAAGCGACGAAAUGAAUUUAUAGGUCAACUUAUCUCACUUGACUAGAGUUAUUAACUUAUUUAUUUAUGGCACUUUAUGGUGUGGGCGGGAUUAGAGUGAAGUGUGGAAUCUCGUAUGGCUGCGUACUCUGACAAGUGUUCACCACUUAGUCACAUGACUUGAAGGGGUUUCUCUCGAUUGGUGAGACCUCGAUUGUUGCGUAUUGAGGGUCUUUAGCCUUAUAAUUUGACUCGAUAAUUUAUGUGACAAAGUCAUCUCAAAUUGAUGGAGAGUAACCGUUGCAAGGGAUGAGUAAUUUUGAUGCCUUGCAUGUCCACAAAGCAGAUAAAUAUCAAUUUUUGUAGAUAGAGAUAGGAUUGCUGUACAAGAAAUAAGAUGUAGUUCUCGAUAUUGUGCUUGCGGUCACGUUGCGGCUCGCUCUACCGAGCACUUGUCACGUAACCGUGAACGUUCGAGUGGUCUGCAGUAGAUUAUGCAUUCGCCUUGCUGUGUCUGACUGGACGCCGCGUACACAUGGCUGUUGUUUCGCUACCGCUAAAAUUUAAUUAAUUAAGACCUUAACUUAUUUAGCUAUGCUACGACAGCUGCAGCUGUACAAUAUAUCUUAGGCAAUUUUAGGUUUUGUGGUGAUGAGAACCCUUUUAGUAAGACUAUUCUGACUCUAUACCGGUUGCUAGGCUUCGGUAUGUUGUUGCCGUUGCCGGGGAGUCGAUUAAAAAGUGAUAAUUAAUUGUUUAUUUAAUUAACACUUGAGACAACCACACAAUGUGAGAUGUCGAGGCAACAGUGUAGCUUCGUGACUUCCAGAGGCUUAUAAUAUAGAAAGAAUUGAUAUAUAAAGUUGUGUCAUUUGUGUCAGUCUACUUAUAAUUUGUGUACACGUUGCGUUACGGUCUUAAUAAUAGUUUUGCAGUGCAACUACAUGCGUAGAGCGACGAGCGCACGUAGAUGUGGUACCGUGUGCAGUGUUGAUGCUGAUGAUGAUGCUGAUGUUUUAUUUUUACACUGAAACACUUUCAGCCAUAAUGGCUGGUCUUCCAGGUACCGUGCGCUGUGCAUGGAGGUCAACCUAGCACUAGUCCACACUGCAUUAUAAGUAUCUGCCCUACAUCACUGACGUUGGUAAUCUAUUGAAACUAUCUACUAGUAUCUACAUGCUAAAUACUCACAACGUCUUUACAGAUAAAGAUACGUAUGACUAGAAGGAGUAUUUACAAUGUUUACGUAGUAACUACCUGAAGCUGAGGCAGACGAGCAUCCGCGGAUACGAGAUGGAAACGAGUUGCGAAACUACUGCGCUCUGUAGAAGGACGUCGAUCUUCUUUAGCGAAUUCGUUCUAGGAGUGGCAAGAACUUUUGAUUCAGGCAGUUGAACGACCGUCGUUGGUAGUCUUCACUUUUAGAUAUACUAGUUAUCUUAGAUGUAUAGGGCAUCUUAGUGCAAAGCGGUACGCUUAUUGAAGCCAAACAGUGUUUCGUGCCUUGAUUUGUAUGGUCGCACAUUGUAUUUUCUGUAAAGAAGCCAAGAGUCUCCAGUGAGAUCACGAAGUCUUUAACCAGUCAAAACUAGAAAACAGGUGUCCCAUUUGCGUCAAUCGGGUAUAUUGACGUCAUUGCAGAUUAUAGAAUUAAAAACAUUUAUGAAAGAGGAGAGAUGUAUGGAUUGCCUAGAACCAAUAGAAAACAAACAGGAAAAGAAGAGAGAAAAAGCAAAAUUUAGUCACACUUCCAUGGAUUGACGAUCCAUUUUCUGCGUUUGUAGAUUGGCCUUGUAAAAACUGAAAGUACUCCUACCUAGAUCUAGUCUUACUCUUUUCAUUACGCAAUGUUGGAAAAGAGGUAAGUUUAUUUUAGAAUUUUCUAGUGGUGUGUACUGUACGCAAAAAUUUGGCCACGCCCCCAAAUUUUAUUCAGUACUGUACUACUGGGUUAGAUCAGUCUAAAUGACCGCACGAAUGAAGAGCAUGCUUCAUCACCAAUGAAACGUAACGGUGAAAACGUGAGGUGCCAGUCUUGCGGGAUGUCUUCUCUAGAAUAAGUCAACAUGUGGUCUCCAGUUGCAAUUGAUGUUGUAAUGAAAGUGACUCUCAAGUACUGAGCCUAGCUAGCUAAUAAUUAUUACUAAUAUUGCUAACGGCAUUUUAAUUAGGCCGCGUUCACACGAGGCCUGCCAAGUUGUGUCUCGGGCUUGACCCCGGCCCCGUAGUUCCUGGCCCGGCCCUGUUUGCGUUCACACGUCCGUAGCUAAAUGUAUAGCCAUGGGCUUAGAUGCGCAGGUCUGAAGUGCGAGUCAAUCACGUGGUGGCCAGACAGGGUUGUCGUUGCCAUGAUGAUGGUGCCAAUUGUGGCACGGGGGGUUCGAAAUUGUGGAACCGGGUUUGGAGAGAUUCUAGAAGACCACUAGCUGACUCACAUGAAACUGUAUGGAAGUCACAGAACAUAAGCAGCUCAAUACUUUAGGGCUAUUGGCAUCUCUAUAUAGCGCUAACUCUUGUAUUGGGUAGCAAAGAACUGAUUUUAAUUAAGUCACAGGUUAUAUAUA